GCGAACGCUGGCGGCAGGCCUCACACCUGCAAGUCGCACGAACUCUUCGGAGUUAGUGGCGGACGGGUGAGUAACACGUGGGAACGUGCCUUUUGGUUCGGAAUAACUCAGGGAAACUUGUGCUAAUACCGAAUGUGCCCUUCGGGGGAAAGAUUUAUCGCCAUUAGAGCGGCCCGCGUCUGAUUAGCUAGUUGGUGAGGUAACGGCUCACCAAGGCGACGAUCAGUAGCUGGUCUGAGAGGAUGACCGGCCACACUGGGACUGAGACACGGCCCAGACUCCUACGGGAGGCAGCAGUGGGGAAUCUUGCGCAAUGGGCGAAAGCCUGACGCAGCCAUGCCGCGUGAAUGAUGAAGGUCUUAGGAUUGUAAAAUUCUUUCACCGGGGACGAUAAUGACGGUACCCGGAGAAGAAGCCCCGGCUAACUUCGUG
rnacentral:rRNA from 1 species